CUCCCGCGGCGGGCCGGGUCUCCAGGGAGGACCUGAGUUUUCUUCACCCAUUGUCAGGAAGGCGCCAUCGCCCUGGCUUUGGGGCUGGGGCCUCCGGGGAGGUUCCGGUAGGGGCGUUGGAGAGGCCGCUCUUUUUGCAAGGCCCGAGACGGCGGGCCCUGCGCAGGCCGCCCUAUUCCGCGCCCUCAGGGCGUCAGUAUCAGCCUGAGGCUGGAUACCCCCGCUGGGCCCGGAUGCCCCCGCUGGGCCCGGAGCAUCCUCCGGCGCUGCCCUCCCAGAGCCACGCAGAGGCUGAGGUGGCGCGGGGGCGGCCCCGGCUCCGCGAGAAGCGGCGGCAGCGAGGGCUGGAGGACCCGGGCUGCGGGGCUCCGGGGCGUCUGGCCUGGGUGGGACUGAGCCCAUCCAGGGACUGGGACUCUGGGAUUCUGGUGUAGGUGGAUCCGGGGCAGGCUCAGGACCAAGUCCCUCUCCUUCCACCAAGGAGCGCCCAGAGGCCGGCGGGAGCUCCAGGUUCACCUCCUCCUCCUCCAGGAAAUCCCACUUCCAGCUAGAUGUCUGCAUGAACUACUGAAAGCUGCUGAGUGUCUUGCAGCAGGUGAGCUGUGGCCAGAGCUCAAGGAUGAAGGGGACUCCCUCACUCUGUGACUGUGAAGAGGAAGCCUGAGGUGUAGCAGGCCCAGGCCCCAGAAGUAUGGAAAAAAUGAGGCCAUUUUCAAUCCAGAGGAAGACCUUCUAAAAGAGGUGAUGGAUGGGAGAGUGCUGACAUACUAUGUGAAGCUACUAUUUGGAGUUGGACACGAGUGCAUGUGACCUUGUGCCACAGCGGGAAUGUGAGCUGGGUGACAAAUGGAGAUUUGGACUUGUGAUAAUUGGCCUCUGUGUCAUUGUGUGGAAGACUGACUGGUCCCUUUAUUUCCUGUAGCUUGACUACCACACAAAUGAAUCCAUUCAAAUGUUGGCAAGUGGAGCAGAGUCCCAGGACAGUCUGCAAUCUCUACAGGUACAGAAACACCCCCAGUUCAAGAAUCUUCACAUCUGAAUUUAGUCCUACACCUGCAACUACCCCAGGCCAGUUAUCCAGGCAGUGACUUUCAGUACAGCUACAGUCACCUCUGGACACCUGUGGAGACUUUAAAAAUUUCCAGAAGUUCAGGAAUUUUUGGACACCUUUCUCAUGGCUAUGUUGCCUGCAAAGGUGAAUCAAUAAGCUUCUGAACUGACUUAGAAAAUGUUGCAGAGACUCUUGUGAGCAGAUAGACCCUCUCCUGCCACUCCAGAUAGACAUAUCUGGGUCACACACACCUGAUUUAACAACAUCUCGUUAUCUCAGGCACCAAUUUGAUCUUCUACUACUUUGCAGACAUCUCUUCUGCAAACACCAGACAAAUUGAGACAAUGACCUUCCGCAGGACCCAAACCACCUCUUACUGCAGGAAAGAAGAUCCAGUGAGAUAGUUAGUCCACAAAUGGAAUGUAAAUCCAUAAACACUCUUAAGUAACAGAAUAAAUUUAGUAUGAGCAUUUUUAUGUGGGAGCUCUUGACAUGGUUGCUGCUCAUAUGUCAGAGACACAUGCAGUUUAAGAAAGGUAGCAGUUCCAAUCCUGGUUUGGCCCAACAGUCACUGCAUUUUUGGUGGGGAAAAGGGAUGUGGGAGGAGAUGGUACAUCUUCAUCUUUUUCUCUGGGUUUUCUGUCAGAAAGGGAUGUUGCUUACUCCAGUGGCAAAAAAUGCCAGUGUCUUCUGCCAGAGUGGGUUACUGAGGGCCUUGGUGGUUCCACCUUGUGGCUGAUACAGAUAGUCCCUUUCUGCUUUUGUUUCUAGCCAAAAAAGAUGUUUCUGGCAUCUCAGGUAUGCUGAUUUCAGCAGCUGUUUUUUCUAUAUGGCUAUUUUUUUUUCUUUCACUCUCUCUCUCUCUCUUUCUUUUUUUUUUUUUUUGUUGGCUUCACUGUGUUGCCAUAGUUUCUUAAAUGGUCCCUUGAACCCUGCCAGGGCUAGUUUGGUUUGUACAUAACUAUCUAUAUAUAUUUUUCUUGCGGGGAGGGUGUAGAGCUAAAGGCUGGUAUAUGCUGCUGCUGCUCCCCAAAAGUGACGUUAUUCCCCCAAGCUAAUAUUUCAGGCUUUCGAUUUAUUCAUGCUUUCAUCUGUUUAAACAUAAGUAGAAAUUACUUUUUCUCUCCCCAUUUAGAUUUGAUCUAUCUACUUUAAUUGCUAAUAGUGUCUUAGGCAUAGAAUAUAUUAGUUAGAAAAAAGUGUUUUUGACAUUAUAAAUGAUUCUUUCAAUUUGUAUCUAAAAGUGGAAAAUACUAGAAAGCUUAACAUUUAUUAUUGUAUUCAGACCAGUAUUUCCUCCAUAUGACCUUUAUUACAACAAAGAUAAUUUAAUGAAGAUCUCUCUAAUGGGAAAGCUAAUGGCUUUGUGCUAUUACAAUAUCCUUCGAAUAAAGUGACGGUCUGGUGGAAAGAACAACUAAAGCAAGGAUUAGGAAGAAAACAGUUAAUACCUUCAUUUUCGUCUCACUGUGCAUUAAGAGUUUUCAUUGUGUUAAUGAUUUAUUAUACAUUAAGUAAUUUAAUGUUCAUUCAAUAAUAAAUGUAUCCUAUUAAAUAUGAUUUUUAAAAUUAUAAUCACA
ensembl:lncRNA FAM66B family with sequence similarity 66 member B